rnacentral:rRNA from 1 species
CAGCAGCCGCGGGAAUACAGAGGGUGCGAGCGUUAAUCGGAUUUACUGGGCGUAAAGCGUGCGUAGGCGGCUUCUUAAGUCGGAUGUGAAAUCCCUGAGCUUAACUUAGGAAUUGCAUUCGAUACUGGGAAGCUAGAGUAUGGGAGAGGAUGGUAGAAUUCCAGGUGUAGCGGUGAAAUGCGUAGAGAUCUGGAGGAAUACCGAUGGCGAAGGCAGCCAUCUGGCCUAAUACUGACGCUGAGGUACGAAAGCAUGGGGAGCAAACAGGAUUAGAUACCCCAGUAGUCCCUGUAUCUUAUAC